CCCUACUACUUACUUUGAUUCAAAAGGCGAACAGCUUUCAAUACUAGUUGUUACGUUACGCUGCCAUUUUUCCAAUAUCAUUGAAUAGCAUGCAUGGCCCGGGGCUAAGGUAACUCAAGUGGGGGAGCCGUGUUAUGGGUGACCUUAUUGCACGGUUCAGAGAGCACUUGUGUAUGUGAUGCAAGUGAACGUGUACGAAAACUGUAUAUGAUGCAAGUGAACGUGUAAGAAAAAGCUGUCGUAAAGUUUUGUUGUUCGUUCCGUUGUCGACCCUAUAUAUGUUUCUAUGAUGGCCCAAGAACACGCUUAUUCUUCAGCCGUAGAGAGACUUUUGAAUUGCGAGGUACCAUUACGAGCUCAAUAUAUACGAGUGUUAUUCCGUGAAAUAACUCGAAUUUCAAAUCAUUCACUUGCUUUAACUACUCAUGCUAUGGAUGUGGGAGCAUCAACUCCGUUCCUGUGGGCUUUUGAAGAGCGGGAGAAAUUGUUGGAAUUCUAUGAAAGAGUCUCGGGAGCCAGGAUGCAUGCCAGUUAUAUGAAAGAGUCUCAGGAGCCAGGAUGCAUGCCAGUUUCAUACGACCAGGUGGAGUGGCACAAGAUCUGCCUCUUGGCUUAUGUCGAGAUAUUGAUUCCUCCACACAACAUUUUUCUUCUCGUAUCGAAAAAUUACAAGAGAUGUCAACCGGCAACCGUAUCUGGAAACAACGAUUAGUGGAUAUUGGUACUGUCACUGCGCAGCAAGCAAAGGAUUGGGGAUUCAGUGGUGUAAUUUUAAAAGGUCGUGUGACAUGAAGACAUUGAUAGCAAUAUGGGGGAAGUUCCCAUCAGGCAACAACGGUUCUGCCUGACCGUACUUAAGCAUACAUAUUAUGUCAGUGAAGACUUUGUGUGAAGCCUUGGAGCUUACGUUAGAAGAGCAAAAGGCCUGGGGCUAGGGUGAGCUGAGGGGGGGCAGCGUAAGUGAGUGAAUGUGUGUAAGCCCAGUCAAACAUGACUGGUCUUGGCGGGCCACCCGCUUUAGAAUGGUGUUGGUCCUACAGACCGUGAACGGAUUUCACCUCUGGCCUCUGGGCACGUCGGAACCGCAUGAGUUCACCGGGGUGGAGCACGGUCCGCCAAAAUCGGCAUAGGUUAGGUGCUAUUGAUGGAACAUGGUAAGCCUAUCUUUCUCCAUAUGGAAGUGCUGCGGGCACAUAGAGAUGUGGGUAGAGGAAGCCUCAAAAAGCGAAGACCGAGCUGUAAAUCACGUGACCUGCACCGAGUUGGUGGCUGGGGCACAUAGAGAUAUGGGUAGAGGAAGCCUCAAAAAGCAAAGUUCGAGCUGUAAAUCACGUGACCUGCACCGAGUUGGUGGCUGACUAGGCUUUUUCCUGGAUCAAAGCGGAUCAGCUCGCCCUCUUGUUAUCCGAAAUUUGGUCAAAUCGGGCGGGCCCCUGCCUCCAAACGUCGAAUGAAAUAGGUGUAGGGUUCUCUUUCUACAUCCCUUUUGAUAUGAUAGGCCCGAC
rnacentral:lncRNA from 1 species